CAAGUGCUCGACGGCCUUGGUGUCGGCUCUGGUGUUCUUCCAUCAAAGGGAAAAUCGACCCCAAAUCCCGGUCGCUUUAGGUGGAUUGGUGCCGGAGCGCUGUGUUUCCUUGGCCGCCGCAAGCGCAUCUCAGAUCAGGCAAGGCGCUGCCCAGGAUCAGGGGGGUUGAAAUGACGAGCUAUCUACGGCGGUUUGUGUAUCUGGUGGUGGAUGGCAAGAGGCCCCGCACUUUGGACCUGCACCGCAUCGACAUGGCGCGCUUCUUCACUCAGAGAUCGCCACUGAUUGGGGCCGCUGUGGACGCUCGGCUGCCUCGCCCCCAGAUGACCUUCUAUGCCCCCUCGUCGGAGGACCGCAGUGGCAGAUUGCAGUUCCUUCUUCUACAUUGCAACAAGGUGCUCGCCACGGACCAGAUGAGCCAGGCUAGCAUAUACGACGCCGGCCUGAACGCCUUGCGCACCGCGCCCACUCUUAGCAGACCCUAGUACAGCCCCAUCUCCGUCACCGUCGGGCAAAGACUCUACGUCCUCGACUCAUCCCGCAGAGUGGUUGGUGCCGGUGACAAGGAGCAUUGCUUCGAGGCACUCGUCUACGGACCCGACGGCGGAGGGUACGAUGACUGGCGCUACAGCUAUCUCCCUUCUCCACCCUACCGCCCUGGCGACAUCGACGCCUAUGCUGUGGUCGGUGGCUCCGACGUGUGGGUGUCCUCGGAGGACGAGGGCACCUACUCGUUCGACACCGUGCGCGGCACAUGGUCCAAGCAGGGAGAUUGGCCAUUGUAGUUCCGUGGCCUUGCCGAGUACGUUCCCGAGUACAAGCUCUGGUUUGGCCUCUCCUCCAGUGAGAGCAGCAACCUUUUCUGCACCUUCAACCUCGCCGCCGCCGCCAGGCGGCUCUCGCCUCCUAUCCCACGUAAUGUCUGGGAAGAUCUCUGCCCGCCCAAGGGAUGGCUCCAGGUUACAUCCUCACUCGUGCACUUGGGCUCCGGCAGGUUUUGCAUCGCCAGAUUUUUCUGUGACGAGCCCGGUGAUGCUGAUGAUGAUCCCUGGAAGAUGUUUGCUAUUCUUAUAGCCGUGGAGGUACGUCCGCGAGGGAAGUCAGGCAAAGGACUUCAAAUGGUCAGGCACAUAUCCGAAUGUUACAGCCUUCCUGACAAUAACCUCAACCAGUGGGUGCUUUGAUAAUGUUCUGACUACUGGCAAGUUUGGAUCUGGCCGCGGUUCAAGCUAGGAGGGACAUGUCACUUUUGAUUGAUCAGAUGGUGAACCUGGACAGCAUGCCAUCUGUGGCCUCCGUCCAGAUUCUCCUUGGCGACCAACAUAGUGCUACUCUUCUCUGCACUGGCAUCCAAGGUGCUCCACAAUAAGCAAUCUGCUUGUUGGUUUCCCUUGCAAUCGGGUCAAACGUAACCUUGCACCUACUCUGUUCACUAGUUUUUGCUCGUCUAAAAAAUUGUGGAUCCCAUCAGCACAUGGAUGUUCACAUUGAACAUAUCGAACUCACUGCAGUAAAAGGAUAUUGUUGUUCUUUGGGUCAAAUGUAACCUUGCACCUACUUUGUUCA